UUAAUGUAAACUAAGUUAUAAAAACGAAGUUAUAACUGUUAGCUAAAUGAAACCGAAUUUUCUUUUUUGUUGUUGUUUUAUCAGUCAGCUAACUGUUAGCUAACUGUUACAGGGGUUAGAACUGGCAGCUAACUGUUAGUUAGCUAACUGUCACUGCUCUUGAUGUUAGCGAUAGGUCACAAUGGUUAGCUAAGCAUCAGAUCUAUAUGGUAACUGUUAGCUAACAGGUAAAGCAGUCAAAUGAAUGCCACAGUUGUUAGCUAACUUUGAUUUUGACUAACUUUAGGUUUCAAAAUAUGGCUACUACAGUCAGCUAACUGUUAGCCAAGUGUAACAGGGGUAAGAUAACUGACAGGUAGGGCUAACAGUUUCAGCAUUAAGGCAAACAUUGCAUCAUUCAGGUAACUGUUAGUUUACUGUAACAGCAGUUAGCUAACUCAGCUCCAGAUUAACUCUUAAAGCUGUCAGCUAACAGCUAACUGUUAAAGCAGAGCUAACUCAAGUUACUGUUAGGAGUUUUUGACAUGUUUGAAACUGAAAUUUAAGUUAACUGAUGUUUUUUAUGAUCUAUAAAAGUAAACAAGACCAUCAUAAAGAGGAAUGAUUACUUCUAAGUAGUUCUUUUUAAUGCCUGAAACUUCUGCGUUGUGCUACAGAAACAGAAGUCUUGAUUUUCUCUGAGUGAUACAGCUGACUGUUUGACGCGGUGGUGCCAAAAUCAACACAAAGGUUCCUCAAAGCAGCAAACAUUCAUCCAUUCAGGUUGGGAUAAACAUGAAAGCAGUUGUUAGCAGCAUUUGAUAAUUAAGCCAUAACCAGUAAGUAUCUGUCAGGUAAAAGAAUCAAUCAGGACCAGUUCAAACCAGUCCAACUGGUCUUAAAAAUCCAGUAUUCAGCAUAGGUCAUCCUAGAGUAUAAAGUCCAGGCAGAAGAGUCCAAAUUCUUAAAAAACUACAAUCCAAACUAGUUAAAAAAAAAAAAGUCCAAUGUGAGGCAUUACUCAUGAGCAUCUGGUGGACAACAGAGUCCAGACAGACCAGUCUUACACCGAGCUGAACCAGUUCAGAGCAGUGGAGUCCAGCGCAGCGUGCCAAUGGAGAUGAGGGUCUGGCAGGUAGCAGAGUCCAACCAAACCGACUCCACCAGAUUAAAGUGCAGGAAGCCGAGAGCGAAUCCACAACCAACAUCGGACAGGUGAUGUUUACCCAGCAGCACACGGGACACACCAACCAGGACGGCCCACAGGUAGAGCAAGAUCCUGAGGGGAACCUGGAGGACAAAACAGACUCUUAGAAAGUGAAGCACCAGGUGGUUUAGGAGGAACUUGGACACCAUCACGGCUCGACUGGCGUGGGCUGCCGGGAAAGAAUACAUGUCCAUCGCGAUGUAGUCCAUGAACCCUGGAGGUAAGUCCCAUGGUCCUCUGCGUUUGACCAGCUUCUGCAUCCCAGCGACCGUCAUCAGAUCCAGGACCAGAGCUGCAGGUGAGAAAGGAUCAGGUACAGAUUUAACCCCUGAGGUUCUUUAUGUACUAAUGAAACCCCUCUACCCUCCCUCCUUGUGAUUCUGAGUCUCUCACCCAGCAGCAGGUUGACGAGGACCUCCUGUCCCGCCAUCGUGUUGCUCCUCCACAGACAGAUCAGAGUCCCAAAUAACCAGGGGAGGGCGUGUCCGCUGAGGGCCAGCAGUGACACCAUGGACCUCAGCGGGGCCCCUGGGCCGCGGACCCCGGCACAUAUACCCAGACGCUUUGACAUGCUGAUGUCGAUGGCGAGCAGAGAGUUGAUGGCGAUGCCUUUGAAGGAUGGAUUCAGCUGCAUACAGUCUUCCUUCACCGCCCCUUCAGCUCCUGAGCCCCCCUCUGAGGAGUCCCUCGAGGAGCCCCCCCUGAGGACAGAGAGACCAAAAGUAAAUGUCGAUAGACUUUAUAGAAAAGAUAAAACCGAAGAAUCUGAACCAUCGUCUGUAGAGAUAGAACAACAUCUCUACAAAGUGACGCCAAAGCUUUUAGAGCUCCCCCUGGUGACUGGCUGCAGUAUAGGUCUUAAGCCCCGCCUCCUCCAUGUUAACAGAUGGGACAUGAGUCAAACUAGAAAAUUAAAAUGCACAAUAAAAAAAAAAAUUCUCAAACAUGAUAGUUACUUCUUAUCAUGCCAGUUUAUGUCAAAGUGUUCACUUUUAGCAGAGAAGUUUAGUUUUAGUUUGUUUUUGAUUUUAAAAAGGUGACUGAUUGACAGCUCUGUGGACCAAUGAGGUUCCUGCAGCGAUGUGUGCACAGGAUCAUCAGAGAAGAGGACGGUGAGAGGAAACAUAACAAACACUAACACAAGAGUCAUUGGACUUUCCAUAACCGUGAGAGUCUGCUUAAAACACAUACAAGAACCUGUGACUCUGUGGACCCACCCGAGGGAGCGAUCAAGUUUUAUCGGAAGUAAACAAGGUAGAAUGACAAAGGAGUGUCGGACAGUUGAGUUUGUUGGAUGAGAAAAGAGUGAUUGAACUGCGGUUAACUAAAAGGUCUAACUGAGUAUGGAUCUGAGACACUUAAAAUUCAACUUAAACUUUCAGAGGUCGUGCUUCUUCGCCCAUUUUGAAGCUGCAGACUUCAGAAGACAUCCUCUGGAGAAAUGUUGUGCCUGUAGGUCCUUUUUAACCCAGAGUAUGUCAAACAUGUCACCUCUGUAUGGAUCAGAUCUUUAAAAUAGAAGCAGGAUGACCACAUGAUGAGUAAACAUGUUAGUAUGUUAAAUGAGUAACAGACUAAAGUGGAUAUAAAGUUAGAUAUGAAGGAAAUGUAGUCUAGAUGUCAGCAUGUUCAGUCUUCAGUGAACUGAGACCAGCACAUGGAUCAGAAAGUAUCUGCAGGACUCUCAGAGUGAAGACUUAAAUAAAGCCUGAGUCCAGGAUCUCUGGACGUGUCUGGACUCUAAAAGUGAGCUGUGAUUUCAGAGGGCCGAGCCUCUGGGUCUUACCUCACUCCUGGGUCCUCCUGCUGACUGUGCUGUCUGGCCGAGGCUCUCUUCGGACCCCCGCUCCCCCGCCCUUCCCCUGCCCCUUGCUCCCUGCGGGGGGGCUGGUUCAGGGACAGAAACUCGGGCCGGUUCAGGACGUUGUUCCGGUCUCUGGCCCGGCUCCGAGCCUGACUGCCGGGCAUGACGGCGGACGGUCCAGAGGUGUUCGAGGUGGAACAGUGUUCAGAACAGGCUGCAGGACUGUGACGGAUCAGGUCUGAGACUCUGAGGGACUCUGCUAUUAAUAGACCAGCUGGCCUUCUUCUUCUGCUGUCAGCUGUUCAGAGAGAGAGAGAGAGGGGCUGGAAAAACACUGCACACACACACACACACACACACACACACACACACACACACACACACACAAACACACACACCGUACAAUACAGGCCAACAGAGCAGGCUGUCAUAUUAAAGGAACACUCCUCCAGUUUCACAAGUCAAAGGGCAGCUAACACUCACAGUCAUGGUGUGUUCAGGUCAUGUCACAGUAAUCGUAAUAACCAGCUUCCAACAGAGGUGGACACGAGUCACUUUCAAAAAGUCCAAGCCCAAGUCUCAAGUCUCUAGGGGGGACAGGGAGUCCAGAUCAAGUCCCUCAUGGUUUUAUUAAAUAACAUAAAAAUAAAAAUGUUGUCGUCAUUGAAUGUGGGCCCCGUAGAUGAUAAUGUCUCUUAUUUAUUUUACAUAAUGUUACAUUAGUUAAUGCACUAAGAGUGUUGUGUUGUUAUAUCUGCACACACACCUGUGCAGGGCGGAUCUGGACUUGGCCAAACUUGGAAUCACGGUGUGAGAACAUUCUAAUUCAUCACGAGACAUUCACCUCAAACUGAGCAUCAAAGGAGGGCCGUCCUGAACAACGUGUCUCUCUGCUGCAUGUGUCAGAUGUUUAUCACAACCAGGGGUGUUGCACUAAAUUAUGGGCCCCAAACAGAGGACCCGACUGCAUUAGCAGUUAUUCAUUAUUUAUCUUUGAGGGCCUCAUAUACUCACUCAGAACGUCUGCAGGUGAAGUGCUCUUUGUGGAGUGAGGUAGCUUGUGCAUUCGAUAGUUUAACAUCUGCAUGACAUCCCUUCACAUCUGUUUAGCCUCAGUUUAACUCAAACUCUGCAGACCUUCACCGCUAACAGCAGUCCUAAGAGCCUGCUGCUUCAGAGUCAUAUAGAAUAUCAUCUGGCUGCUAAACUGGACCAGACUGGACCCAGUCCAGGCUAAAUACAGCACAGUCCAGGUUCCCCCUGCUCAGCCUCUCCCUCUGCAAAAAUGUUUGACAUCUCACUAAAUAUAAAAUAAUAGAAACGUGCUUUUAAUUCUGUUUGGUUCAUUUACUCAGUUUUAUUCUUUGUUCUUCGUUUGAAAGUGUGACUCAGUGACUCCUGAGACAUUACUGAGAUUAAAACAGGAACAAGAAGUCUGCUGAGGGGGGAUUUAUACAGGAAUAAACCAUGUGUAGAUUGUUGUUGAUAACUUUAGCUACUAUGAUACUCACAGAAUGAAGAAAACGCUUUAAAAAAACUAAAUAUAACCCUAUAUAUUGAACUGUAAUCCCUUCUUUCUCAAAUCACAAUAAAACAAGUUUGAGUAAUAUUGUUGAAUUGGAAGUCCUCUGUCCCACCGACCCAUUCGAGCUGGAUUAAGAGGGUGCUUUAUUUUCUUGAAUUUGAAAAGAUGAGGCUGACCCUGAGUGUCAAAACUCAUAUCUUUAAAAAAAAAAUCUGUGACCCUUUUUUAUCUGUGUGUCUUUAGACUGAGCAUCACCAUGGUGUGUCUUACUAUGUUUAUUGAUUUCAUCUGUUUAUUUUUAUUAUACUUGCUUUUUGUCUUAUGGUCUCCAUUUUUAGAGUUUUAUUUAGUUAAUGUGGAGGGAGUGUGUGUCGGGGUGGGGGGUUAUUUGUUGUUUUGUAUUUGGUCUGUGUGUUUAUUUGUUCCAAAAUAAAGGAAAAUGUACCAACCUUUAAUUUUUGGAUGUGACUGUUCUUCUCUGUGAAAAUCAAUAAACAGAGUUUAACAGGUGUGAGCAGA